rnacentral:rRNA from 1 species
GACGAACGCUGGCGGCGUGCUUAACACAUGCGAGUCGAACGAAGCUUGAUUACGGAUUCUUCGGAUGAAGUAUGAUGUGACUGAGUGGCGGACGGGUGAGUAACGCGUGAGUAACCUGCCCUUCAGAGGGGGAUAGCGUUUGGAAACGAACGGUAAUACCGCAUAAUGUAUUUUGACCGCAUGAUCGAAAUACCAAAGAUUUAUCGCUGAAGGAUGGACUCGCGUCUGAUUAGGUAGUUGGUGGGGUAACGGCCUACCAAGCCGACGAUCAGUAGCCGGACUGAGAGGUUGAUCGGCCACAUUGGGACUGAGACACGGCCCAGACUCCUACGGGAGGCAGCAGUGGGGAAUAUUGCACAAUGGGCGCAAGCCUGAUGCAGCAACGCCGCGUGAAGGAAGACGGUUUUCGGAUUGUAAACUUCUGUUCUUAGUGAAGAAUAAUGACGGUAGCUAAGGAGCAAGCCACGGCUAACUACGUG